CAGGGUCGAGUAGGCCUUUACAAGAAAUUCCUGAAGGCUGGUCUUCAUCUAUUUUUCCAUUAUUUAGUUAUAGAAUUUAUUAACUUGUAUAAAAUAAGCCCCUGUGGCAUAGCGCCAAACUCAUGGCAUCAAAUUUUAGCUUUUUUUCACCCACUGUCUUCUCCUCAGAGUCGAACUGACCUCCCACCUUUUUCAGACUUGCUUCACAC
rnacentral:lncRNA from 1 species